rnacentral:rRNA from 1 species
GUAGGGAAUCUUCCACAAUGGACGAAAGUCUGAUGGAGCAACGCCGCGUGUGUGAUGAAGGGUUUCGGCUCGUAAAACACUGUUGUAAGAGAAGAAUGACAUUGAGAGUAACUGUUCAAUGUGUGACGGUAUCUUACCAGAAAGGACGGCUAAAUACGUGCCAG